rnacentral:rRNA from 1 species
GAAAGGCGGCUUCGGCUGUCACUUCAUGGAUGGACCCGCGUCGCAUUAGCUAGUUGGUGAGGUAACGGCUCACCAAGGCGACGAUGCGUAGCCGACCUGAGAGGGUGAUCGGCCACACUGGGACUGAGACACGGCCCAGACUCCUACGGGAGGCAGCAGUAGGGAAUCUUCCGCAAUGGACGAAAGUCUGACGGAGCAACGCCGCGUGAACGAUGAAGGCCUUCGGGUCGUAAAGUUCUGUUGUUAGGGAAGAACAAGUACAAGUUGAAUAAGCUUGUACCUUGACGGUACCUAACCAGAAAGCCACGGCUAACUACGUGCCAGCAGCCGCGGUAAUACGUAGGUGGCAAGCGUUAUCCGGAAUUAUUGGGCGUAAAGCGCGCGCAGGUGGUUUCUUAAGUCUGAUGUGAAAGCCCACGGCUCAACCGUGGAGGGUCAUUGGAAACUGGGAAACUUGAGUGCAGAAGAAGAAAGUGGAAUUCCAUGUGUAGCGGUGAAAUGCGUAGAGAUAUGGAGGAACACCA